rnacentral:tRNA from 1 species
GGAGGAAUGGCAGAGUGGUCGAAUGCACCGGUCUUGAAAACCGGCGAGGGUCACACCUCCGGGGGUUCGAAUCCCUCUUCCUCCG